rnacentral:rRNA from 1 species
GGUAAUUCCAGCUCCAAUAGCGUAUAUUAAAGUUGUUGUGGUUAAAAAGCUCGUAGUUGGAUCUCGGCGGGCAGGGGGCGGUCCGUUAUUUGACGCGACUGCCCCGUUUGUCCGUGUAUCUCUGGCGGAACUCGCCGGGUGCUCUUCGCCGAGUGUCCGGUCGGGGCCGCCGCGUUUACUUUGAAAAAAUUAGAGUGCUCCAAGCAGGCUCGACACGCCUGAAUAUCCGUGCAUGGAAUAAUGGAAUAGGACGUCGUUCCUAUUUUGUUGGUUUUAGGGAAUCGACGUAAUGAUUAAUAGGGACAGCCGGGGGCAUUAGUAUUCAGGCGACAGAGGUGAAAUUCUUGGACCGCCUGGCGACUCACUGCUGCGAAAGCGUUUGCCAAGUAUGUUUUCAUUAAUCAAGAACGAAAGUUAGAGGUUCGAAGGCGAUCAGAUACCGCCCUAGUUCUAACCAUAAACGAUGCCAGCUAGCGAUCCGUCGGCGUUUUUAUUGUAGGCCCGACGGGAAGCUUCCGGGAAACCAAAGCUUUUGGGUUCCAGGGGAAGUAUGGUUGCAAAACUGAAACUUAAAGAAAUUGACGGAACGGCACCACCAGGCGUGGAACUUGCGGCUUAAUUUGACUCAACACUGGAAAUCUCACCAGGCCCGGACACCGGAAGGAUUGACAGAUUGAGAGCUCUUUCUCGAUUCGGUGGGUGGUGGUGCAUG